rnacentral:rRNA from 1 species
AGUGAACGCUGGCGGUAGGCCUAACACAUGCAAGUCGAACGGCAGCACAGUAAGAGCUUGCUCUUACGGGUGGCGAGUGGCGGACGGGUGAGGAAUACAUCGGAAUCUACUUUUUCGUGGGGGAUAACGUAGGGAAACUUACGCUAAUACCGCAUACGACCUACGGGUGAAAGCAGGGGAUCUUCGGACCUUGCGCGAUUGAAUGAGCCGAUGUCGGAUUAGCUAGUUGGCGGGGUAAAGGCCCACCAAGGCGACGAUCCGUAGCUGGUCUGAGAGGAUGAUCAGCCAAACUGGAACUGAGACACGGUCCAAACCCCUACGGGAGGCAGCAGGGGGGAAUAUUGGAAAAUGGGCGAAAGCCUGAUCCAGCCAUCCCGCGUGGGUGAAGAAGGCCUUCGGGUUGUAAAGCCCUUUUGUUGGGAAAAAAAAGCAGCAGGUUAAAACCCCGCUGUUCUGACGGUACCCAAAGAAUAAGCACCGGCUAACUUCGU